rnacentral:rRNA from 1 species
AAAAGGCGGCGUAAGCUGUCGCUAAAGGAUGGACCCGCGGUGCAUUAGCUAGUUGGUAAGGUAACGGCUUACCAAGGCGACGAUGCAUAGCCGAGUUGAGAGACUGAUCGACCACAUUGGGACUGAGACACGGCCCAAACUCCUACGGGAGGCAGCAGUAGGGAAUCUUCCACAAUGGGCGAAAGCCUGAUGGAGCAACGCCGCGUGAGUGAAGAAGGUUUUCGGAUCGUAAAGCUCUGUUGUUGGUGAAGAAGGAUAGAGGUAGUAACUGGCCCCUAUUUGACGGUAAUCAACCAGAAAGUCACGGCUAACUACGUGCCAGCAGCCGCGGUAAUACGUAGGUGGCAAGCGUUGUCCGGAUUUAUUGGGCGUAAAGCGAGCGCAGGCGGAAAGAUAAGUCUGAUGUGAAAGCCCCCGGCUUAACCGAGGAAUUGCAUCGGAAACUGUGUUUCUUGAGUGCAGAAGAGGAGAGUGGAACUCCAUGUGUAGCGGUGGAAUGCGUAGAUAUAUGGAAGAACACCAGUGGCGAAGGCGGCUCUCUGGUCUGUAACUGACGCUGAGGCUCGAAAGCAUGGGUAGCGAACAGGAUUAGAUACCCUGGUAGUCCAUGCCGUAAACGAUGAGUGCUAAGUGUUGGGAGGUUUCCGCCUCUCA